rnacentral:rRNA from 1 species
GACGAACGCUGGCGGCGUGCUUAACACAUGCAAGUCGAACGGAAAGGCCCUGCUUGCAGGGUACUCGAGUGGCGAACGGGUGAGUAACACGUGGGUGCUCUGCCCUGCACUUCGGGAUAAGCUUGGGCAACUGGGUCUAAUACCGGAUAGGAGCCAUCUUUAGUGUGGUGGUUGGAAAGUUUUUUCGGUGUAGGAUGAGCUCGCGGCCUAUCAGCUUGUUGGUGGGGUAAUGGCCUACCAAGGCGGCGACGGGUAGCCGGCCUGAGAGGGUGUACGGCCACAUUGGGACUGAGAUACGGGCCAGACUCCUACGGGAGGCAGCAGGGGGGAAUAUUGCACAAUGGGAGCAAGCCUGAGGCAGCGACGCCGCGUGGGGGAUGAAGGCCUUCGGGUUGUAAACUCCGUUCGCUAGGGACGAAGCGUUGUUGUGACGGUACCUAGAUAAGAAGCACCGGCUAACUACGUG